CCUACGGGUGGCAGCAGUGAGGAAUAUUGGUCAAUGGACGAGAGUCUGAACCAGCCAAGUAGCGUGAAGGAUGACUGCCCUAUGGGUUGUAAACUUCUUUUAUAUGGGAAUAAAAUGUUCCACGUGUGGGAUUUUGUAUGUACCAUAUGAAUAAGGAUCGGCUAACGCCGUGCCAGCAGCCGAGGUAAUACGGAGGAUCCGAGCGUUAUCCGGAUUUAUUGGGUUUAAAGGGAGCGUAGGUGGAUUGUUAAGUCAGUUGUGAAAGUUUGCGGCUCAACCGUAAAAUUGCAGUUGAAACUGGCAGUCUUGAGUACAGUAGAGGUGGGCGGAAUUCGUGGUGUAGCGGUGAAAUGCGUAGAUAUCACGAAGAACUCCGAUUGCGAAGGCAGUUCACUGGACGGCAACUGACACUGAGGCUCGAAAGUGUGGGUAUCAAACAGGAUUAGAUACCCCUGUAGUC
rnacentral:rRNA from 1 species